UGUCUGGGACUCAUGCGUGAGAAAGAUAUUGCUGAACACCGGCUUAAAAUCGAUUCCUGCGUAGCUUCUCCGUUCCAGAGAUCGGUCGACUCUGUACUGGAUCGAGCUAAGGCCACUGCACAAAGCCAAUUGGAACUAGCGACUAUGAAAUCAAAUCUUAGAGAGGCAGAGGACGAGCUCGUUAAAUUAGGGUCCAUCAAACCAUAAAGCUUCAAACUUUGAGGAUGUGGAAAUAAUUACCCAAAAGCUUAUGAUUAUACCAAAAAGUUUAUAACUUUGAGGAUGAGAUUGCUUAAACAUAACACUAGCAUGCCAAAACUAUUAUCUGUCAACGAUUGCAAGGUAUUGUUAGCUUUGUCUGAGUACAUUGUAGUUUUCACGAGUCAGCUACAAGCUAAUACGAGACUUUAUAAAGUGGUGAUCUUUAUAAAUAUACCCAGCUUGUUUCACUCAAAUUUUUCACUGAAAGACCAAGCUAACAUUUUUCUACUUCGUUCUUCCAAUAAAGACUUCGCAGUAUCUAAGGACAGUGCUGGUAAUGUUACCCAAGACAACAUCAAAGACGCUAUCUCUUGGUAUAAACAGGCUCUAGGUUUUAAUGUUGAAGCAGGGCAUGGAGUUAAGUUUACAUUCACCAACAUUGAUGCAAAAAGGCCUACACGCGAGUUUUCAUUCACAGUUCACUAUGGAAAUGACAUCUACUCAUUAGUGGAUUGAAACUCGCAAUUGGAUGACAUGGUUCAAGAAUUGAAUAAAAGUAUAAAACUAAUGACCACUUCGGAUUUGUUCGUCAGAUGAGGGAUAAGUUUCAGAAAGCUACCUUAUCUGGCUAGGAAAUGAAGGUAGAGCUUUCAACAGGAAUAGGAUCAAGGAAAAAACUAAAGCUGAGAUGUGACGGUGUUCUAGAGACAGCACAGCAGACAACAAUCUGUUGUUUGAACUUCAUUUAAUAUCUCACCAAUAUUGUAAUCACGCUUAUUUACAAUGUUGAUAUAUGUACUAACAAUGGUGCUAUGUUUAUACACCCUAUUGUUCUAUAUGUACAUGUUGGUAAAACUAUUCACAAGGAGGUGAAGUAUGAAGGCCUUAACCGAGAAAAAACUUGUCCUUGUCAGAGUCUGAUUCGUAACUUGCACUAAAAGUCAAUAUACGUUGAUUUUAUCU